CAGAAUGGUAAUCAAAUAACUUACUUGCUUUAGGGCGAUUUCUCGCCUCUGGCUAGUUGAGGCCGAUGGCACUAUGGGCUGAUCGGCUGGAGUUGCCGAUGGAACAAUGUCGGCUAAAAAUUAACUAAGGUAAUUAUAAAAUGGAAAAAGUAGGUUCAUCGGCAAUAAUUCCAUAGAGAGUAUGUUACCUUGAGGGGGUGCAGUAC
rnacentral:lncRNA from 1 species